AUGUUGCUUAAUCGCCUGUGGGGGAGCUGCAGCCCUGGAAAGGAGCCUGGGCUGUGGGGCUGCCAGGACCUGGCUGGUCUUCUACUCCAAGACAGAGGAGAAUAUCAUUCUUGGGUAAAAUCUCCUUCAAAUGACCUUUGUGAGAGAAGUCCUGUCUGCUUCAGCAUCUGCCUUCCUCGGCCCUUACCCAUGGGAUUGAGAAUAUUAAUGCCAGGAAGAGGUCAGACAUUGAUAUUGAAGAGCAGACCUGUGUUGGAAUGAAUGCAGUUCUAGGGCGAGACUGGUGAAUGAAGAAGGGUAAGUAUGAAUGAGGGCUGACUAGAGCAUGACAGAGAAGAAGGUCAAAAGUACCACAUGUUAAGCUGAAGCCAAGGUUUUUGGGUUUUUUUUUCUCUUUUUUUGGCCAUCCCCAUGGCAUAUGGAGUUCCUGGGCCAGGGACCAGAUCUCAGCCAGAGCUGCUGGACCCUUAACCCACUUAACUCAUUGUGCCAGGCCAGGGAUUGAACCUGAGUGCUAGGGCUCCAGAGACACUUCUGAUCCUGCUGCACCAUAGCAGGAACUCCUGAAGCCAAGAGUCUAAUGAAAGAUUAAGGUGUUCUAAUAAAAGACAGCAAGUGCUCAGCAAAUGCUUCUCAACUGGAUAAAUCAGAAGAUGCUGGUCAGGGGAUCCUUGGCGGGUGAAGGUGCAGAGGCAACCAGCUUGGGAUGUUAAGGGUCUGCAGAGAGUGUAAUUGCGGCUUGAACUGGGGGCAUCCUUGGAAGAGUAGGUACCAAGCAACAGGAACAGAACACCGAAGCUGGGCUUGGUUAAGUGGGAUGGGGCAGAAACUGCUAAUGGCUUACCAGUAUCUACUCUCCCCAUUGUAACACAACCCAGAUUUUAAACUAGAUGACAAGGUGCCCAGUUGAAAGACAACAUUAGUCAGUCAUAUUUGCAGCUGGGAUGGCCACUAAGGUAUAAACAGAAGUUGGAACUAUAUUCAAUAUCCUGUGAUAAACCAUAAUGGAGAAGAAUAUGAAAAAGAAUAUAUAUGGUAUACAUAUGCAUAACUGAAUCACUUUACUGUAGAGCAGAAAUUAACAUAGCAUUGUAAAUCAACUACAUCUCAAUAAAUUUUUUUUAAAAAAGAGUUAUAAGUGGAGGUUGUUGCACGGGGGGUGGGGGGCGCUCUUCUGUGAAGAGGUGAUAGAAUACUAACAUACUUGUAUUUUUCCCUUUUCCCUUCUUCCUGUGCCUUCCUAGAAACGAAAGAUCAAUGUGAUGGUUAGAUCUUCAGCUAUUGAGUCAUGUAGUGAAUUUGAAAAUGGAAGCCAUAUCCUAAGGACAGCAGAACAAAAAGAUAGAGGAAACCUGGAACAUUGAUGACUCUGUAGCUCCCAUACCACUCAGAAUUCAGCCUUCCUUUGUAUGAGAAAUAAGAUAUUAUCUUAUUGAAGCUACUAUUAUUUCCUCCUUCACCUGGGACAUCACAAGCCUAGGGAUCUUUGGAAGGUUUCAAACAAAGAGUGAAGAAUUAGGGAUUUUAUUUGUUUAGUUUUUGGUUGUUUAUUUUUUAAGUUAAAUAGGCUGUAAAAUAAAAGUGUUUUAAUUUGAAAAAAUAGUCUCUGAGCUCUAUCAUAAAAGGAAUCAAGGGGUUAUAUAUUAUUGUAUUAUGUAUUUAUUUGGCUUAAACAAAAAGAGGGUUUUAUUUGCUUAUGUAAUUGAGAAAUCCAGAAGUUGGGUGGGCUUAGGUAAGGCCAUCUCUAGUAGCUGGAUAAGCCAACCAAGAUUCAGUGUCUUUCCAUUUCUUCUGAGUCUCCC
rnacentral:lncRNA from 1 species